rnacentral:rRNA from 1 species
GAACGCUGGCGGCGUGCUUAACACAUGCAAGUCGAACGGAAAGGCCCUGCUUUUGUGGGGUGCUCGAGUGGCGAACGGGUGAGUAACACGUGAGUAACCUGCCCUUGACUUUGGGAUAACUUCAGGAAACUGGGGCUAAUACCGGAUAGGAGCUCCUGCUGCAUGGUGGGGGUUGGAAAGUUUCGGCGGUUGGGGAUGGACUCGCGGCUUAUCAGCUUGUUGGUGGGGUAGUGGCUUACCAAGGCUUUGACGGGUAGCCGGCCUGAGAGGGUGACCGGCCACAUUGGGACUGAGAUACGGCCCAGACUCCUACGGGAGGCAGCAGUGGGGAAUAUUGCACAAUGGGCGGAAGCCUGAUGCAGCAACGCCGCGUGCGGGAUGACGGCCUUCGGGUUGUAAACCGCUUUCGCCUGUGACGAAGCGUGAGUGACGGUAAUGGGUAAAGAAGCACCGGCUAACUACGUGCCAGCAGCCGCGGUGAUACGUAGGGUGCGAGCGUUGUCCGGAUUUAUUGGGCGUAAAGGGCUCGUAGGUGGUUGAUCGCGUCGGAAGUGUAAUCUUGGGGCUUAGCCCUGAGCGUGCUUUCGAUACGGGUUGACUUGAGGAAGGUAGGGGAGAAUGGAAUUCCUGGUGGAGCGGUGGAAUGCGCAGAUAUCAGGAGGAACACCAGUGGCGAAGGCGGUUCUCUGGGCCUUUCCUGACGCUGAGGAGCGAAAGCGUGGGGAGCGAACAGGCUUAGAUACCCUGGUAGUCCACGCUGUAAACGGUGGGUACUAGGUGUGGGGUCCAUUCCACGGGUUCCGUGCCGUAGCUAACGCUUUAAGUACCCCGCCUGGGGAGUACGGCCGCAAGGCUAAAACUCAAAGGAAUUGACGGGGCCCCGCACAAGCGGCGGAGCAUGCGGAUUAAUUCGAUGCAACGCGUAGAACCUUACCUGGGUUUGACAUGGAUCGGGAGUGCUCAGAGAUGGGUGUGCCUCUUUUGGGGUCGGUUCACAGGUGGUGCAUGGCUGUCGUCAGCUCGUGUCGUGAGAUGUUGGGUUAAGUCCCGCAACGAGCGCAACCCUUGUUCACUGUUGCCAGCACGUUAUGGUGGGGACUCAGUGGAGACCGCCGGGGUCAACUCGGAGGAAGGUGGGGAUGACGUCAAGUCAUCAUGCCCCUUAUGUCCAGGGCUUCACGCAUGCUACAAUGGCUGGUACAGAGAGUGGCGAGCCUGUGAGGGUGAGCGAAUCUCGGAAAGCCGGUCUCAGUUCGGAUUGGGGUCUGCAACUCGACCUCAUGAAGUCGGAGUCGCUAGUAAUCGCAGAUCAGCAACGCUGCGGUGAAUACGUUCCCGGGGCUUGUACACACCGCCCGUCAAGUCAUGAAAGUUGGUAACACCCGAAGCCGGUGGCCUAACCGUUGUGGGGGAGCCGUCGAAGGUGGGACUGGUGAUUAGGACU